GUCAAAAAUAUAAAAAACAUAAAUAAAAAUGGAUGUGGCCCCGGAUAAUCAAAUUCCCGAUAACAUUUUGGAACAAAUCUUUUCUUAUUUAAACCUAAGGGACCUUCGGAACUGUUCAUUAGUUUGUAAGAGAUGGUAUAAGUAUUUAAAUGAUGAAAAUAACGAUGUGUGGCGGUUACACUGCAUAAGAAAAUUGGCGGAAGAAGCACUUAAAUCUGACCUUUUGUCGUCGGUUCCAACAUAUAAGGCGAAGUUAAGGGCUUUUUAUCACGCGUGGAACCCUAAUGACUGCUCGAGGAAUAUUUAUAUUAAGCCCAAUGGAUUCACCUUGCAUAGGAAUCCUGUGGCUCAAAGUACAGACGCUUGUCGGGGAAAAAUUGGUUUCCGGCAUGGGAGACAUGCUUGGGAGGUUAUAUGGGAAGGACCAUUGGGUACUGUGGCUGUAAUAGGCAUAGCAACAAAAGACGCUCCACUCCAAUGUCAUGGUUAUGUAGCCCUACUAGGGUCAGAUGACCAAAGUUGGGGCUGGAAUCUUGUAGAUAAUCAUUUACUACAUAAUGGAGAUGCUCAGGGAAAUUACCCCUUAUUAAAUAAUGCCCCUAAAUACCAGGUUGGUGAGAGGAUAAGAGUUAUUUUAGAUUGUGAUGAUAACACAUUGUCUUUUGAGAAAAAUUAUGAGUUUCUGGGGGUGGCAUUUAGAGGUCUUCCUGAUAAAAAACUUUACCCAACAGUGUCAGCAGUGUAUGGUAACACAGAGGUUUCUAUGGUGUACCUUGGUGCGCCCCUAGAUGGCUAACAUAACCUAAAAUCCGCUAGUCAAAUGAGAAUACUGCUUGUGCAAAUAUGGAGAGAGAAAUAUGUCUGUACAAAGAUGGCUUCACCACAAAAGACGCAGAGAUUCUUGUCUUUUAUAGUUUGUUUUUUAAUUUUCCGGGCCUCUUUAUGCUGUAGAAUAGACAAGAGUCUCUAGUCAUUUGUGUAGGUUCACUCCCGAAAGUCAAAAUUCAAACAUUCCCUGAAUCUAAAUACCUGCAUUGCGGUGGUGAUAUGGCAAGGAUUCAGCAAGUAAAUGCCCGUUCUAGAGGCGCAUUUAAAGCCCAUCUCCAUUCCCCAACAAAGGCACACCAGAACCAGCAAAAUUCUUUUUCCCAG
rnacentral:misc_RNA from 1 species